rnacentral:rRNA from 1 species
CCCCUAGAUGUUCUGGGCCGCACGCGCGCUACACUGAACAGUUCAACAAGUCUUAACCUUGGCCGAUAGGUCUGGGUAAUCUUUGAACGCUGUUCGUGAUUGGGAUAGACCUUUGCAAUUAUGGGUCUUGAACGAGGAAUUCCUAGUAAACGCAAGUCAUCAGCUUGCAUUGAUUACGUCCCUGCCCUUUGUACACACCGCCCGUCGCACCUACCGAUUGAAUGGUCCGGUGAAAUCUCGGGACGGCGGCUUGGUCGCUUGCGUCCGACUGCUGAAACUUGAUUAAACCAUAUCAUUUAGAGGAAGGUGAAGUCGUAACA